rnacentral:lncRNA from 1 species
CACGCGCUACUUUGUGAGAUACAUUUUAACAUUAAUGAAAAUUAUAUACUACCUAAGUGUUGUACCUUGGUUGUACUCAGGUAUAUAGAAGAAGAGAAGGAUAAAUCGGACCAUAAGAACGGACCAAUGCAAGUUCCAGAAGAAGUCAAAAACGGACCAGUGGAAGUCAAAAACGGACCAGUGAAAGAAAUCUUCAUAACUUUUUACUCACAAAAGCUAUGAAGGUCCAUGAGCACUUGUUGGAAAGCUUGACGAGUCUACUUUCCAAUGAAUCUAGUGGCGACC